rnacentral:rRNA from 1 species
CCUACGGGUGGCUGCAGUGGGGAAUAUUGGGCAAUGGGCGCAAGCCUGACCCAGCAACGCCGCGUGAAGGAAGAAGGCUUUCGGGUUGUAAACUUCUUUUCUGAGGGACGAAGAAAGUGACGGUACCUCAGGAAUAAGCCACGGCUAACUACGUGCCAGCAGCCACGGGAAUACGUAGGUGGCAAGCGUUAUCCGGAUUUAUGGGGUGUAAAGGGCGUGUAGGCGGGAAAGCAAGUCAGAGGUGAAAACUCAGGCGUCAAGCCUGAGCCUGCAUUUGAAACUGGUUUGCUUGAGUGCUGGGGAGGCAAUCGGAAUUCCGUGUGUAGCGGUGAAAUGCGUAGAUAUACGGAGGAACACCAGUGGCGAAGGCGGAUUGCUGGACAGUAACUGACGCUGAGGCGCGAAAGCGUGGGGAGCAAACAGGAUUAGAUACCCUUGUAGUC